GUGAAUCAUCGAAUUUUUGAACGCAAAUUGCACUCUCUGGUAUUCCGGAGAGUAUGCCUGUUUGAGGGUCAGUUUAAAUAAAAAUCGGUGUGGUUGCUGACUUGUGUGGUGACGCACCGGAUUUGGGUCGUCUCGUCUUCGGUUAAGUGACUUAAAAUUUUGCAUGAUUGUUUUCGAUCGUAUGUAAAUGAUUUUAUGUACGUUUUCGAUAUCUAAUACUAGGUGUGGAUUUGAUCAUGA
rnacentral:misc_RNA from 1 species